GCUGGCGUAGCUCAAAGGUAGAGCAACUGAUUUGUAAUCAGUAGGUUGGGGGUUCAAUUCCCUUCGCCAGCU
rnacentral:tRNA from 1 species